GAUGAACGCUAGCUACAGGCCUAACACAUGCAAGUCGAGGGGAAACGGCAGCUUAGCUUGCUAAGCUGGACGUCGACCGGCGCACGGGUGAGUAACGCGUAUCCAACCUGCCCCACGGUGAGGGAUAACCCGCGGAAACGCGGCCUAAUACCUCAUGGCCUCCGAGCUUGACAUCAACCUUGGAGUAAAGAUUCAUUGCCGUGGGAUGGGGAUGCGUCUGAUUAGCUUGUUGGCGGGGUAACGGCCCACCAAGGCGACGAUCAGUAGGGGUUCUGAGAGGAAGGUCCCCCACAUUGGAACUGAGACACGGUCCAAACUCCUACGGGAGGCAGCAGUGAGGAAUAUUGGUCAAUGGGCGAGAGCCUGAACCAGCCAAGUAGCGUGCAGGACGACGGCCCUAUGGGUUGUAAACUGCUUUUAUAAGGGAAUAAAGUGGGUCACGUGUGACUUUUUGCAUGUACCUUAUGAAUAAGGACCGGCUAAUUCCGUG
rnacentral:rRNA from 1 species